rnacentral:tRNA from 1 species
ACGGCCGUAGCUCAAUGGUAGAGUCCCGGUCUCCAAAACCGGUUGUUGGGGGUUCGAGUCCCUCCGGCCGUGCCA